UACGUAGGGUGCAAGCGUUAAUCGGAAUUACUGGGCGUAAAGCGUGCGCAGGCGGUUUUGUAAGUCUGUCGUGAAAGCCCCGGGCUCAACCUGGGAAUUGCGAUGGAGACUGCAAGGCUUGAAUCUGGCAGAGGGGGUUAGAAUUCCACGUGUAGCAGUGAAAUGCGUAGAGAUGUGGAGGAACACCGAUGGCGAAGGCAGCCCCCUGGGUCAAGAUUGACGCUCAUGCACGAAAGCGUGGGGAGCAAACAGG
rnacentral:rRNA from 1 species